rnacentral:rRNA from 1 species
GAUGAACGCUAGCGAUAGGCUUAACACAUGCAAGUCGAGGGGCAGCAUGGUCUUAGCUUGCUAAGACUGAUGGCGACCGGCGCACGGGUGCGUAACGCGUAUGCAACUUGCCUCACAGAGGGGGAUAACCCGUCGAAAGACGGACUAAUACCGCGUACACUCUAUUUUGGGCAUCCAAGGUAGAGGAAAUGAAAUUCGCUGUGAGAUAGGCAUGCGUCCCAUUAGCUAGUUGGUGAGGUAACGGCUCACCAAGGCGACGAUGGGUAGGGGAACUGAGAGGUUGAACCCCCACACUGGUACUGAGACACGGACCAGACUCCUACGGGAGGCAGCAGUGAGGAAUAUUGGUCAAUGGGCGAGGGCCUGAACCAGCCAAGUCGCGUGAAGGAGGACUGUCUUAUGGAUUGUAAACUUCUUUUGUAGGGGAAUAAAGAGGGGCACGUGUGCCCCAGUGAAUGUACCCUACGAAUAAGCAUCGGCUAACUCCGUG